CCCUCCCGCGCAGAUGUCCUGGGGCGGGAACCCAGCGCCCGUCUCCGGCUGCAGGAGCUGCUGGACCGGCAGCGGGGCCUGCGGGAGACGCUGGGGCUGCGGGUCGCCGAGCUGCGCCGGCUCUGCCUGCAGGAGGCUGAGCUGACGGGGAAGCUGCCCCCCGAGUACCCGCUGGAGCCGGGGGAGAGACCCCACCUCAUCCGGAGAAGAGCGGCGCCCGCCCACCGGGGACCUGGAGCUGAGGCGCUGGCGUGGGAGCUGUGCCGGGAGCUAGGGGAA